ensembl:misc_RNA Y_RNA Y RNA
GACUCGUCCAAAAGUAGUAGAUUAUGUAAAUGGAUUGUGCAUAAGCAGUUGCAGGUUAAUCUUGUUCUUGUUUUCCCCUCUUCUCACUACUGCACUAGACUAGUGUUUU